UACGGAGGGUGCAAGCGUUAUCCGGAUUCACUGGGUUUAAAGGGUGCGUAGGCGGGUAAGUAAGUCCGUGGUGAAAUCUCUGAGCUUAACUCAGAAACUGCCGUGGAUACUAUUUGCCUUGAAUAUUGUGGAGGUGAGCGGAAUAUGUCAUGUAGCGGUGAAAUGCUUAGAUAUGACAUAGAACACCAAUUGCGAAGGUAGCUCACUACACAAUCAUUGACGCUGAGGCACGAAAGCGUGGGGAUCAAACAGG
rnacentral:rRNA from 1 species